UCGAAUUUGAAGGUUUUUUGC
rnacentral:siRNA from 1 species